UCUAGUUAGCAUUAUACCGUGAAACUGCGAAUGGCUCAUUAAAUCAGUUAUCGUUUAUUUGAUAAUACCUUACUACUUGGAUAACCGUGGUAAUUCUAGAGCUAAUACAUGCUGAAAAUCCCGACUUCGGAAGGGAUGUGUUUAUUAGAUAAAAAACCAAUGCCCUUCGGGGCUUUUUGGUGAUUCAUGAUAACUUUACGGAUCGCAUAGCCUUGCGCUGGCGACGGUUCAUUCAAAUUUCUGCCCUAUCAACUUUCGAUGGUAAGGUAUUGGCUUACCAUGGUUUCAACGGGUAACGGGGAAUUAGGGUUCGAUUCCGGAGAGGGAGCCUGAGAAACGGCUACCACAUCCAAGGAAGGCAGCAGGCGCGCAAAUUACCCAAUCCCGACACGGGGAGGUAGUGACAAUAAAUACUGAUACAGGGCUCUUUUGGGUCUUGUAAUUGGAAUGAGUACAAUUUAAACCUCUUAACGAGGAACAAUUGGAGGGCAAGUCUGGUGCCAGCAGCCGCGGUAAUUCCAGCUCCAAUAGCGUAUAUUAAAGUUGUUGCAGUUAAAAAGCUCGUAGUUGAAACUUGGGCCUGGCUGGCGGGUCCGCCUCACCGCGUGCACUCGUCCGGCCGGGCCUUCCUUCUGAAGAACCUCAUGCCCUUCACUGGGCGUGCUGGGGAAUCAGGACUUUUACUUUGAAAAAAUUAGAGUGUUCAAAGC
rnacentral:rRNA from 1 species